ACGAGGAGGACCCACCUGUACCCAUUCCGAACACGGAAGUUAAGCUCCUUAGUGCCGAAGAUACUUGGUUGGUGACGACCCGGGAAAAUAGGUCUGUGCC
rnacentral:rRNA from 1 species